GCCCCAGUGGCCAAUGAAUAAGUCACUGGCCUCCUAAACCAGCAAUUAUGGGUUUAAGUCCCAUCUGGGGUG